rnacentral:rRNA from 1 species
UCCGAAGGGAGCUAGCGUUGUUCGGAAUUACUGGGCGUAAAGCGCAUGCAGGCGGAUCGUUAAGUUGGAGGUGAAAUCCCGAGGCUCAACCUCGGAACUGCCUUCAAUACUGGCAAUCUUGAGUCCGGGAGAGGUGAGUGGAACUCCGAGUGUAGAGGUGAAAUUCGUAGAUAUUCGGAAGAACACCAGUGGCGAAGGCGGCUCACUGGCCCGGUACUGACGCUGAGAUGCGAAAGCGUGGGGAGCAAACAGG